UCCGAUUAAAUCUUCCUGUUUUCUCUGGAAGCUCUUCAGAAGGCGUAUUCCGGUAAAAGUGGAGCUAGCUCGCCGGAACGUGAUGGGGGAUGCAAACUUGGACUGCACUUUCUGCAUUAACAACGAAUAGAACAUUGAUCAUCUAUUCAUCUUUUGUCCUUUUUCUAUUUACAUGUGGAUAGAGGUAUAUUCGUGGCUCCAAAUCCCUUUUGCUAAUUAUAUCUCUGUUGAUGAAGCCUUUGCGGACUUCACUUCUAAGAGUCCAUCUCAGAAAGUUUCUCAUCUUUGGCAUGCAAUUUGGGUUGCUGCUGUUUGGUGGAUUUGGAGAACUAGGAAUGAUGUAAUAUUUAACAGUAGGAAAUUUAGUAUCUCUCAUAUUAGUCACUGUAUUAAGAUGUCAUCGUGGUUAUGGCUAUCCAAAAACCACAAUAGGGAUAUAAUUUCAUCUUUUGAGGAUUGGAGUGUAGAUCAUCAUCCUUGCUUUUCGAAUCUUUGUAAUCUGUAAUCUGUUUUAGGCUUGCUCCUUGUGAGCCUUUGUUUCUUUUUAAUAAAGUUUCUAUCUCUCAUCGGAAAAAAAAAUAAACUUUGUCUAGCCAACACAUAUGUCUCAUCUGAACCAUCCUCUAUGACACCACUUUUUGGGACAGCGGAAACAAUCAUUGUGGAGUGUUAACUAUAAACAAUAAUAUAAAGUACAUAGAAUAAAUAGAAGAGAACAAACAAGAGAAUUUGUUAAUAGGGUUCGGUCAACUGUACCUACGUUCUCGAGGGCGUUGUGCGACUACCAAUAUAUUAUUAGAGAAUAAGGAUUACAAAUUCUAAUAUACCCAAGGACCCAAGUGCCUAUAUAGUGUUUCUAUUCAGUGCUUCUAUUUGGUUAUUUCAUUUUUUCCUAAAGUGGAUAAAAUUCUAAUUAAAUCAGACAAGCGACAAUAACCAAU
rnacentral:lncRNA from 1 species